rnacentral:rRNA from 1 species
GCUCCAGACUCCUACGGGAGGCAGCAGUGGGGAAUAUUGGGCAAUGGGCGCAAGCCUGACCCAGCAACGCCGCGUGAAGGAAGAAGGCUUUCGGGUUGUAAACUUCUUUUCUGAGGGACGAAGCAAGUGACGGUACCGUAAGAAUAAGCCACGGCUAACUACGUGCCAGCAGCCGCGGUAAUACGUAGGUGGCAAGCGUUAUCCGGAUUUACUGGGUGUAAAGGGCGAGUAGGCGGGAUUGCAAGUCAGAUGUGAAAACUAUGGGCUCAACCGAUAGAGUGCAUUUGAAACUGCAGUUCUUGAGUGAUGGAGAGGCAGGCGGAAUUCCCGGUGUAGCGGUGGAAUGCGUAGAUAUCGGGAGGAACACCAGUGGCGAAGGCGGCCUGCUGGACAUUAACUGACGCUGAGGCGCGAAAGCGUGGGGAGCAAACAGGAUUAGAUACCCCAGUAGUC